rnacentral:rRNA from 1 species
GACGGACGCUGGCGGCGCGCCUAACACAUGCAAGUCGAACGAGCGAGAGAGAGCUUGCUUUCUCGAGCGAGUGGCGAACGGGUGAGUAACGCGUGAGGAACCUGCCUCAAAGAGGGGGACAACAGUUGGAAACGACUGCUAAUACCGCAUAAGCCCACGGCUCGGCAUCGAGCAGGGGGAAAAGGAGCAAUCCGCUUUGAGAUGGCCUCGCGUCCGAUUAGCUAGUUGGUGGGGUAACGGCCCACCAAGGCGACGAUCGGUAGCCGGACUGAGAGGUUGAACGGCCACAUUGGGACUGAGACACGGCCCAGACUCCUACGGGAGGCAGCAGUGGGGAAUAUUGCACAAUGGGGGAAACCCUGAUGCAGCGACGCCGCGUGGAGGAAGAAGGUCUUCGGAUUGUAAACUCCUGUUGUUGGGGAAGAUAAUGACGGUACCCAACAAGGAAGUGACGGCUAACUACGUG